AUCACACGUUUUAAAACUGCAAGUCCGAAUUAAGCGCGAUUUUUGGGGAAACCGAUUGAUAUUCCCUUCCGCACUAUCUCUAUGUCAUUCCAAAAUCCUCUCCCCCAAUUCCACUCUCACUCAAAACCCUAGCCGCCGGAAAGAGAAAAAAACAGUUCUCCCCGACGUUUCUCUCCAUGAAAAGUCUUCGACUCUACGUUUCUCAGUCGUUUCAGCCUUCGACUCUAUGUUUCUCAGUCGUUUCAGCCUUCUUCGUCGUUGUACGGUUGCUUUAGCAGUCCAGAUCCGGUGGAAACUGAACCAAAGCCGGCGAUUUCGGGGGCAGAAGUUAUAUCCAUUCCCCAAGGGUUUAGCAGUCCAUGGAGCUAGGAUGUAGUACCAAGCCAGUAGUACAACGUUCACUAAGGGCAGAGAGUCAGAGUCAUUCUCAUUAUAAUUGUAAUAUGGGACACCAUGAUUCGAGAAACUCUCCAAUGCUGAAAGAUAUAGAGAAUGACAAGGAGAAUCAUAGGCAAGAGGAAAUAUUGAC